rnacentral:lncRNA from 1 species
AAUACUGCAGUUUUGUCUAUGGUUACAUCACCUUUUGGAUUAGGUAUAUUAUGUUUUGUUUAAAUUUUAGAUUGAUUAUUCAGUAAAAUUUCUUAUUUAGUUUUUAUAUUGUUAUUUUGUUGUAGAGGAUGUUAGAGAAGAUGUUACAUUGCUAUAUACAAAUUCAAGAUCUAAAUUCCAAAGUUGGAUGGAAAUCAAUUCAAUAGAUGUUGAUCCAAGGAAGUACAAAUAUGAAGAAUUUUCAAGAGGCUUUGUUUGGCGUACUCAAGAUAAUCAGUGGAAGCAAAGGUCCCAAAAAAAAAGAAAAAAAACCUAGAAUUCAUUCGGAUUUGUUGAUCCUUAUAAUUGUAUUUUUAUGUUUUAUGAUGCAUCUUCAAUUUUUCGGUAAAAAUAAUGUUGAGCUGUUUUUUUACCUAUU